rnacentral:rRNA from 1 species
UACGGAGGGUGCAAGCGUUAUCCGGAUUCACUGGGUUUAAAGGGUGCGUAGGCGGGCAGGUAAGUCCGUGGUGAAAUCUCUGAGCUUAACUCAGAAACUGCCAUGGAUACUAUUUGUCUUGAAUGUUGUGGAGGUAGGCGGAAUAUGUCAUGUAGCGGUGAAAUGCUUAGAUAUGACAUAGAACACCAAUUGCGAAGGCAGCUUACUACACAAAUAUUGACGCUGAGGCACGAAAGCGUGGGGAUCAAACAGG